UCAGAAGGCCGGAUGACCGCUGCCGAUCCUCGGAUCGGGGGAGGAAAGUCCGGGCUCCACGGAAGCACGGUGCCGGGUAACGCCCGGCGGGGGCGACCCCAGGGACAGUGCCACAGAGAACAGACCGCCGCGGCGCUUCGGCCCCGCGGCAAGGGUGAAACGGGGCGGUAAGAGCGCACCGCGCCGGCGGCAACGUCGGCGGCACGGCAAACCCCACCGGGAGCAAGACCGAAUAGGGGCGAGAGGUCGGCCUCGGCCGACAAGCGCGCUUUCGCGCCGCUCGCCCGGGUUGGUCGCGCGAGGCGUCCGGCGACGGACGUCCCAGAGGAAUGGUCAUCCCCGCCGCAAGGCGGGACAGAACCCGGCUUACAGGCCCUCUGACGCA
rnacentral:RNase_P_RNA from 1 species